ensembl:snoRNA Small nucleolar RNA SNORD35
UGCAUGUGAUGUCUAUUCUCACGAUGGUCUUCUGAGCCCAUGUGGCCUUGAGGACAGUGCCUCAUGGCUUUACUGAUGCAGUUUU